AGUAAUGCAAGUGAUGCUCUUGAUAAGCUGAUGUUCUUAAGUGUAACGGAUCCCUCAUUACUUGGAGAUGCUGAGACACUGGUAUUGGAAUGACCAAAGAAGAACUAAUAAACUGCCUUGGAACCAUUUCUCAAAGUGUUUUAAGAUUCCCAGAAGCUAGUGUAAGGUUUUUACCACCUCAGCAUUGCCAGGUCGACGCCUAGCUGUCACAACAGGAAUUCGCUGGACAAACAAAAACAUUACAGGUUGACGCCUACUUUCGGUUUUAUUAUUAUUAUAGCAGUGAAAAUUGUUGGGAUUUGGAUGAGAUUGCUAUACUUGGGUAAAUUUUCUUAAAAUAAACAACUAAAUACAAGUAUAUUUUCUUUAUCAACAUUGGGUAGAAACUAGAUAACAUAUUUACAAGAUUGUAAUUGUAAUACCUUUCCGGAUGCCUUUUCAAAAGCUGCUACCAUCUCCAACACAUAUGUGCCCUUACCCGUUCCUAAGUUGUAGACUUCACAGCCUAAAAAAAAGAUAAUGGUUUGAUUUAAUGUCAAACAGAACAAAAUUUCCAAAACUAAAAAAUGUCAUCUGCAAUCAGAAAGAGAUACACACCUAUAUUAGGGUCCGAGAGUAUCUUCAAAGCAGCAGUGUGUCCAUCUGCUAAAUUUACAACAUGGAUGUAAUCACGUACCUGGAAUUUGAGGGUAGAAAAGGUAAAUAUCAACAUCAUAAUUCCCAACAAACAGCAACAGGAGGAAAACUCAAUAGAACCUUAAAUAAGGGAAUUUCAAAUUCCAACAAACAGCAACAUAACACAAAAAAGAAACCAACCCAAAGUAUAGAUAGAUGCAGAAAGCAUAAAU